rnacentral:tRNA from 1 species
UGCCGAAACCCGGGAUCGAACCAGGGACCUUUUGUUCUUCAGUCUGAAGCUCUCCCAACUGAGCUAUUUCGGU